rnacentral:rRNA from 1 species
UACCAGCUCUCCGAGUGGUAGGGAUGAUUAUUGGGCUUAAAGCGUCCGUAGCCGGCUUAGCAAGUCUCCUGUUAAAUUCAGCGACCUAAUCGUUGAGCCGCGGGAGACACUACUAGGCUAGGAGGCGGGAGAGGCCGACGGUAUUCUCGGGGUAGGGGUGAAAUCCUAUAAUCCCGGGAGGACCACCAAUGGCGAAGGCUGUUGGCUAGAACGCGCUCGACGGUGAGGGACGAAAGCUGGGGGAGCGAACCGGAUUAGAUACCCGGGUAGUCCCAGCUGUAAACGAUGCGGGCUAGGUGUUGGGGUGGCUACGAGCCACUUCAGUGCCGCAGGGAAGCCAUUAAGCCCGCCGCCUGGGGAGUACGGCCGCAAGGCCGAAACUUAAAGGAAUUGGCGGGGGAGCACCACAAGGCGUGAAGCUUGCGGUUC